GGCUCACCGCAACCUCCACCGUCCUGAGUUAAAGUGAUUCUCCUGUCUCAGCCCCCUGAGUAGCUAGGAUUACAGGCGUGCGCCACCACACCCAGCUAAUUUUUGUACUUUUAGUAGAGAUGGGAUUUCACCCUGUUGGUCAGGCUGGUCUUGAACUCCUGACCUAGUGAUCUGCCCACCUUGGCCUCCCAAAGUGCUGGGAUUACAGGCGUGAGCCACCACGCCUGGCUAGGGGAAGAGUGUUUUAAGAGCUCUGAGUAGAAGGGUCUAAGUGCAGACAUCUUGGCUGUUGCUGAAGAAUGUGACUCUCACCGCCUCCCUCUGACACUGUACCAUCUCUUUUACCCCCAUCCUUAGUCCACUCACGGAGGAGGCUGCCUUGAUGGAUUUGACUGCAGCUUCAAACACUUUCUUGGGCAAACGAAGGUUGGUGGUGCCACUGUCCACAAUGCUCUUGUCAUAGUUGUACUAAGAGGGAAAAGAGAGAGUUAAAAGAGUCAAAAGGUUUUUGAUGCUGGGCUCUGGGCAGUAGGGGGUUACUGCUGGGGCCCCAGCUGGGUUGGCAUCUUGGCUUUGGCACCUCCUAAGUGUACCUGCUUGGACAAGUUAACCUCUGUGCCUCAGUUCCUUCAUCUCUAAAGUGAGGAUAAAAAUAGCACCUACCUCAAAGGGUUAUUGUAAGGAUUAAAUAAAUCAGCAAUGUAAAGCACUUAGAAUCGUGCCCAGCAGAGAGAAGGCACUUGGUAAAUGUUUAUUCUUGUUAAUCUUGGGUGGGCAGGUAGUCUCCAAACUUGAAAAUAAAAAUACCUUGUUUAGUGCUUUUAAAAAAAAAAAAAAAAA
rnacentral:lncRNA from 1 species